CAAGUCCGACCGGGAGAAGAGACUUCCCUCCCGUAGCCUGAGAGGCACCGUGGAGUGAAAGCGAGACGGUGAAGCCCUCUGACAACACGCUCUAGGAGCGUGGGCAAAAUUCCAGGUUGUAACGCACAGUGAACGCAGACGUAGCCUCGUUACACGCAAAUCCGGUGGCUGAGACGGUCGAUAACGCGCGAAAGCAACAAGUACUGAUCGAAAGAGUCUGAAACGGCAGUACUCACCGGCGGGGUAUCAGCGGC
rfam:Peptococcaceae bacterium BRH_c8a BRHa_1005156, whole genome shotgun sequence.